rnacentral:rRNA from 1 species
GACGAACGCUGGCGGCGUGCCUAAUACAUGCAAGUCGAGCGGAUGGAAGGAAGCUUGCUUCCUAAUGUCAGCGGCGGACGGGUGAGUAACACGUGGGCAACCUGCCCCUAAGAUCGGGAUAACUUCGGGAAACCGGAGCUAAUACCGGAUAUGAUUAUGUCUCACAUGAGACAUAAUGGAAAGACGGUUUCGGCUGUCACUUAGGGAUGGUCUCGCGGCGCAUUAGCUAGUUGGUGAGGUAACGGCUCACCAAGGCGACGAUGCGUAGCCGACCUGAGAGGGUGAUCGGCCACACUGGGACUGAGACACGGCCCAGACUCCUACGGGAGGCAGCAGUAGGGAAUCUUCCGCAAUGGACGAAAGUCUGACGGAGCAACGCCGCGUGAGUGAAGAAGGUUUUCGGAUCGUAAAACUCUGUUGUUAGGGAAGAACAAGUACCAUAGUAACUGAUGGUACCUUGACGGUACCUAACCAGAAAGCCACGGCUAACUACGUGCCAGCCGCCGCCGUAACAC